AAAAAAAAGAGAUACUAGGAAAUAAAAAGGGGCAAGUGCCCGGAACCUCGAACAAAAGAAAAAGUGAGACGAGAGGUAAAAAUGUACAAGUGUCCGACAGUAGAACUAGGGGUACAAGAUACCCACCUGAGAGAAAAGAAAAAGAAAAUAUAGAGCAUCUCAUUCUCCUCAAAAAGUUUCAAAAGAGCAAGGAAGGUAUGUAUCCCCUUAAAAGAGCACAAGUAGAAUUAGACUUUCACCAUUGUUAUCACCAUCAUCACCAUACACCAUUCAUUCGCCACACAUGCACAUCUUGAUUUGACUUAUUGACUUGUUCUUCUAGAUCCAUGGUUUGACUAUGCAAUAAAUGUCUUGUAAAUAUGUAUUAGCUGUCUCCCACCUAUGAGCUCCAGAUAUCAAAAGCCUUAUUAGAGUAGGGUGAG
rnacentral:lncRNA from 1 species